rnacentral:rRNA from 1 species
GACGAACGCUGGCGGCGUGCCUAAUACAUGCAAGUAGGACGCAGUUGCGAACGGGUGAGUAACGCGUAGGUAACUGCCUAUUAGAGGGGGAUAACUAUUGGAAACGAUAGCUAAUACCGCAUACUAGUAGAUGGACCUGCGUUGUAUUAGCUUGUAGGUAGGGUAAUGGCCUCACUAGGCGACGAUACAUAGCCGACCUGGGAGGGGUAUCGGCCACACUGGGACUGAGACACGGCCCAGACUCCUACGGUAGGCAGCAGUAGGGAAUCUUCGGCAAUGGGGUGAAACCUGACCGAGCAACGCCGCGUGAGUGAAGAAGUUUUUCGGAUCGUAAAGCUCUGUUGUUAAGGAAGCGGUACUUAACCAGAAAGGGACGGCUAACUACGUGCCAGCCGCCGCGGUAAUUC